CGAUGGCAUUUGUAUAGAAGUAAUUUCCUGCAUUUUUUAUCCCUCGAACAUCGUAAUGUAUUAUUAUGUCAAGAAUGCCUAACUAUCGAUGCACUUGUAAUGCAUCAUAUCUUUUUAAAAAAUAAUAGCGUCUCUUACGAGAUACGUCAACCGUCAAACAAAUGCCAGAACUUCGUCAUACAUGUGGCGUGCAUAAUUGCGUUCUAUUAAGACAAUUAUCUGCAUCGUAACUUCCAAUCGAUAGAAUAUUUGUUUUAGAUAUUUACAUACAGGUAUACGUUUCACGAAUAUUACACUUGAGAUAAUAUUAUGAACAGUAUUUUUACUAGUUGCAAAUUACAAGUUACUAGUGCUAGCAAUUUUUUUACACGAAAGUAAGAAGGUUAGAAAUAAAACACGAGGACAAAUUAAAAGGCAUCAAUCUGGAGGGCAAAGCACUGCAGGAGAUUAACAGUUGCUUCUCAAGGAUCGGGAAAUAUAAGGGGAACAAGAGGGAAGAAGCUAACCCUUCGAUCAAAACUACCAACCGCAUAUCCGAUUCCCUUCGUUCGGAAUUUCCGAAGGGAAUCUUCCCCAGAGGGUGAACAGAGUCGUCUAAAAAAUUCGCGGACCCUACAUUUUCAGCGGAUUGAUCAAUUAACGAUAAUUACACUGGCCUAAGUUUGCUGAGGAACGUCCAUCUCUGUUCGUGGCAGUGGCAACUUGGAAUUGAUCUUGCGGUCGAUGAUUUUUUAAUUUUGUUACCUUACGUUUUACCUUCAUUCUGAAUUGAGAAAAUGAGGAACGUUAAUUUAAAAAAGAAGAGGACAAAUUAACACCAUGGUUAUAAAUCAAAAUGAAGAUAAGUUCUGAAACAAAAUAAUAAUGUACUGCAAAAUAAUCUCUUCAGUCAAUGAGAUUGAAAUUAGCUCAAUAAUAGGAGAACAAGAAAUAAUAUUAUAUUUAAAACUCUAAAUCUCGUUUUUAGUAUCCUCGUUAUUAUGAUUGUUCCGCAUUUUAUCGUGUCAGCGUAUGUUUUCUAUACUAAAUAUUCAAAUACUGAGUCACUAUAUUCACUGCCAUCAACACAAACAACGUAUCACCAUUGAAAAUAGCUAUACCACGUGCCCAUAAAUUGCAGCGAAAUAAAAAUCGCUCCAUUCGCUCGACCAUUACUUUUAUCUAGAAAUUUUCAGAUUUUUGCCGCGUGUCGUUUCGAUCGGGCCACUGAAAGCAGUCGGCGGGUCACAUUAUCUGACCCGCGUCAAUUUUUCGGAAAAUCGGUCUCCUGCGGAAUAUUCCGACUGCGGGUCUAUUAUCAAAAUUGAUCGUCCCAUAGCAGGAUUGUCCAAUCGUACAAUACUAGUUCCUAUUGAAGCAUCUGGACCUCUAACAGAGGAAAUACGGACACUGUAUUCUAUAUAUCUAGUCGAAAGCAUACGUCCGACGCUUAUGGAAAAUCCCACUUUUACAAAAGCUUGUAAAGUCGUGGCCUAUGAGCAGCUGUCUUCUCAUUGCAAAAUUGUCGAACGAAGAACGAGACUAGUAUUGGCUCUUGCCAAUAACCCUCGAGCGAAAUGAUACUGCUGAUCCAGCUAUGCUUCCGAAAACACUUGGCUUGGAUAUUAGUAUUGCUGGACCGCGGUUGAAAGGAGGAUAACCGGGUAUAAAGAGGAACACGAGGAUGGAAAAGUAAUGAGGCCGGUAAUAGGUCCUUCGCGCGACGAUAAUGCGCCUCGGUUUCUGUUACGACCGACCACUGAAUUGGAAGAAUCCUGCUUGACAUACUGCGAUAACCUGAUUCUGAUUCAAUCAGUGCGGAAUAUGGAGGAAGAUAAGAAGAAGAUUUUCUGGGAGAGUGGAGGAGAUUGUUGCAGCCAUUUUGUAGGUACUUGAGGUUGAUAAAUGUGUGCGUGCGUCAACAGAAGUCAUUCAUCAAGAGGAAACGACGCGUUUUACAAGAAAAAACUGGUAGAGUCUUUGCAGAUUAUUUAAAAGGAGUGGAAGACUCUUUGGACAACAUUUUCUCUCGUUUCCAGCAAUUAGCAGCCUUGACGCCAACUCAUUAGCGGUUUAUAAGGAAGUGAGCACAUAUAAAAGUUACUUACGCUUUACUUUGAGCCCCUCGUUUCACGAGGAAGAGCCAGCAACGUACAGUCGUACAAAGAAUUUAAGUGAAGCUAAUUUUCAGGAAAGCUGUUACGCUUCCGGCCUAUUUCAAGCCACAUUAUUAACUUAAGUACAGCACUGUUUUCUUCUGUGCAUUUUCCACGAGCAUCCCCCACGCUCUCCCCUUCCCUCUUUAUUAUUGUAUCUUACUGAACUACCUCCUUUCCUAUUUAACUUCGAUGGCUCUUCGAGUUUUCUUCAAUCUUAACUUCCACUCCUGGAUCACGUGCAUUCUAUAAUUUAAUGUUAAAGCUGGAAAUUUGUUAAUAAAGACAGAUCGAAAAUAAAUUUGGAAGUUGCCAAGUUUGAAAUUCGACACUGAUUACUUCGAUUAAGGCUUAGAAAGUAAAUCUUCCUUCCCAAGACGAAGACAAUCGAUAAGAUAAUCAAGCUGUUGUCAAUGAACUCUACUUCGAACGUUUCAAAAUCGUGGAAAUAAUAAUUAACGGUUUAAAAUUCGACCAGGUCUCUGUGAUCAAUUAAUUAAACAGAAGUUUCAACGAGGCAAAUAUAAAAUUACCAAGCAAUAAAGUUCGGAGGCAGGCGUGGUCCGAAAGACGAACUUUUAAUCGCUUGGUCGGGAAAACUAUCUCGUGUUUCACGUUCAAAUUAGGCCACGUUAAAGGGGAGUCACAAUCUGGUGUCAGACAGGUGAAGCUGCCCCACGAAGACUGGUCGCUAAUUAUUUCCGAAUUAACGGCACAUUAGUCUUGUGUCCCCAUUACGACGUAGUUCGGACAGCAUCCUGAAGCUUGGAUUAACGUGAAUGCAGGAUUACCGGGGACAGAAAUUAAACCCGAUGUCGCUGUUAAAUAGUUUCCACUCAGCUACCAAGUGACGAACCAUAACGGAGUUAUUCAAAAUGAUCAUCGUAGAGAAGGUAGUUGUAACUGGUUUAACACGUUGACUACUAAUGAUAUCAUAACGCGUCAUGAAUUGCUUGCUAUCGGAGGCCUACGUUGAAAAGCAAAUGACCGACAUGUAUAGCAACUAAGAGUUUCCUUAAGAAGGAAGCAAAAGAAGUCUAAAAGAGAAGAAAAAAUAGAAGAAAGAAGAAUGUAACAAGAGGCGAGAGAGUUCUAUACAGAGAGAAGGCACGGAAUUAUAUUUUUGAUACGACGCAGAAGUUUCUCCCCGGGGACAGUAAGGAGAACGCAUUUAACGUUUACGUCGUCGAUAAGAAAAAUCUCGUCGGGAACUGGUCUCGCUGUUGUAGGAACCCUCUUGCCGGUACUUUCGAUGUCGAGGUGCUUCGUUAAUUCGCCUUCAAGCUUGGAAAUAAUUUCCAGGCGGAGAAUUUCAUCAGGACGAGGGUAAAGUAGCCCUUGUAACGUCUGCCAGCCAGCUUAACACUCGUUUAAGUGUGCACGUAUACGUACGGGACAGCGGUUUUAGUCGUCGCUGACGAAAUAUUACUUUCGUUAUUGUCUGUCUCAGAGCGGCAGCAACAACCGGUACGAAGGGUUCUUCUCCCCUGUGAACUGUUUUAAUUAAUCCACGUCGAAUUAACGGUUAAAGCAUCACGAACUCGACAGACCUGGACUACCGUUCUCCUAUCUCGUCGCGUAAUCCUCUUACUUUAUAGGAUUCGUUAUUGUACAUACCUCGUUGACUAUGAUGCUCGAAAACCUUUCGCCGUUUAUUUACGACCGAUUCCUCAAAUCCUCCCGCUACUGAUUUUUCAUUUUAUCGUACGAACGAUUGAAAUCGAUUCUAUAUUCGAUGCACAAGCAUAGGAUAUCCUAUGCAAUUGAAACGAGACGUAUCUUUAUAUUUGGUGUUUCCAUGAUGUACGAAUCAAGAUAAAAAGGAAAUGUUAUACGAAAUAUAAAUAAAUAAGAAUUCACAUUCUACACAACAA